rnacentral:rRNA from 1 species
AUUGAACGCUGGCGGCAGGCCUAACACAUGCAAGUCGAACGGUAACAGGAAGCAGCUUGCUGCUUUGCUGACGAGUGGCGGACGGGUGAGUAAUGUCUGGGAAACUGCCUGAUGGAGGGGGAUAACUACUGGAAACGGUAGCUAAUACCGCAUAACGUCGCAAGACCAAAGAGGGGGACCUUCGGGCCUCUUGCCAUCGGAUGUGCCCAGAUGGGAUUAGCUAGUAGGUGGGGUACGGCUCACCUAGGCGACGAUCCCUAGCUGGUCUGAGAGGAUGACCAGCCACACUGGAACUGAGACACGGUCCAGACUCCUACGGGAGGCAGCAGUGGGGAAUAUUGCACAAUGGGCGCAAGCCUGAUGCAGCCAUGCCGCGUGUAUGAAGAAGGCCUUCGGGUUGUAAAGUACUUUCAGCGGGGAGGAAGGGAGUAAAGUUAAUACCUUUGCUCAUUGACGUUACCCGCAGAAGAAGCACCGGCUAACUCCGUG